rnacentral:RNase_P_RNA from 1 species
AUAGAAUACCAGACAAUCGCUUGAAAUACAGAGGAAAGUCCGGGCUUCGCAGGGCAGGAUGCCGGAUAACGUCCGGUGGAGGUGACUCUAAGGAAAGUGCAACAGAAAAUAUACCGCCUGAGCGCCUUGUUCAGGUAAGGGUGAAAUGGCAGUGUAAGAGACUACCGCCCGGGUGGUAACACGCGGGGCAGUGUAAACCCCAUCCGAAGCAAGACCAAGAAGAAACUAUACGGUUGCCCGCCGUGUUUCGGGUAGGUCGCUUGAGGUCGUCGGUAACGGCGAUCCUAGAUAGAUGAUUGUCGCGGGAUUUCCCGUACAGAACCCGGCUUAUGGUAUUCUAUGUCA